rnacentral:rRNA from 1 species
AAUCAACGCUGGCGGCGUGCCUCAGACAUGCAAGUCGAACGAUUAAAGCUCCCUUCGGGGAGUGCAUAGAGUGGCGCACGGGUGAGUAACACGUAAGUAAUCUACCCUCGGGUGGGGAAUAACGUCCGGAAACGGACGCUAAUACCGCAUAAUGCAGUGGCACCGCAAGGUGACAGUUGUUAAAGGAGCAAUCCGCCUGGGGAGGAGCUUGCGGCAGAUUAGCUUGUUGGUAAGGAACGGCUUACCAAGGCUACGAUCUGUAUCCGGUCUAAGAGGACGGUCGGACACACUGACACUGAAUAACGGGUCAGACUCCUACGGGAGGCAGCAGUCGGGAAUUUUGGGCAAUGGGGGAAACCCUGACCCAGCAACGCCGCGUGAAGGAUGAAGUAUUUCGGUAUGUAAACUUACGAAAGAAUAGGAAGAAUUAAUGACGUACUAUUUAUAA